rnacentral:lncRNA from 1 species
AUUAAGCAAAUUAGUAACUUUUCAAAGCACAUAGAGCAGGCCCUGACACCUAAAAGGUGUUGAUAUCAGCUCCUUGAAGAUAUGGUCUGUUGCUGGCCUUUGACUCCUUACUGCCAUGGAAGGCACGCAAGAUCUCUGAGCCAUUCCCUCUGUCCGUGAGGCAUUAAGCCAAAUGUGCCCCUGCUCUCAAAGCCAAUCUUGUCUCUCAUAUCUGAAAACAUAGUGCAGUGAGGGGACUCCCUAUCCCAGGCAGGGUGCUACAGUGGGAAGCCUGAAGUCUCCCCAUAACCUGGUUCAGCUAGGAAAACUCAGUUCCUGUGGGUUACAGUUGCUUUGAGGUGCCCUGGCCUGGUCUUCUAGAGCCCAACAGGCUUAUCCCAGGGACCCUUCCCCAACUGGCACCCAAGCCCACCAGUACCUGUGCAUUCUGUGCCUUGACGUUGUCUGUGACAAUGACUCUCUUGUAAAUGCCUCUGUGUUUCUGGGCCCCUCCUCCUCAGGUCAACAUGGUUACUGGGUUGAAGAUGGCACAGUUAGCCAGAGGCUUGGCAUGUAUGGCCAGCACAUGGGUGAGGCCCCAAUCCUCAACUCUCUCACACAAACGUUCGCUCAGUGCCAACUUUUAGCUGGAUCCUGGGAGUUCAGAGAAAAAGGAAUCAGUCCCGUCUCCUGGAAGGCAAAGCUGCUAUUGUGUCCAGCCAUUCAAGGCAGGUCCUGACGGAUGAGCUUUUGAUAUAUACGAGACUGUUUCGUGUGGCACUGGAAAAACUGAUUUAGAUGCAGGAACCUCUCGGAGCCACUGAUAUUCCCAGGACACUUGUUUCCAUGCAUGUCACCUGAACAGAUGCCACGGGUCACCUGGGCAAAGUCCCUUGGGGCCUUCAAGAUGAGCAAGACAUGUCUUCCCUAGUCGGUAGAAAGAAAGACGCACCCUGCGUGAAUCAGAAGGAUCGUCUCCAGAUCCGCGUCCAUCAGAGGCCCCUCUGGGGUUUCUGUGUCUUUGGGGAAGAGCCUACUAGUGUUCUUCCCGGCCCUUCCUCUCCGUCACUCCAGCUGGUGGGGCUCCCUCAGGUGUUCCCUUCUUCCUGCUCACACCUCAGUAUCUCACAGCACAUCGAGGCUGGCCUGUGCCCAUCCUGGGUCACCUGUGCCUCCCAGAAGUCAGACCCACCUUCCUCCCUUUCUCUUCACUCUGGCCACGACGCGGGCCAGCCCACUGACAUCUCUACAUCCAUUAAAUUAUUUAUUCUGUGUGUGUGCACAUGUGCCGGGGCGUGUGUGUGUGUAGUGUUCAGGUGCACAUGCACAUGCAUGUGUGUGGAAGGUCAAGGUUGACACUGGGUGUCUUCUUCAACUGUUGACCUUCUUUAAGAAAAAGUUUUGCUGGGCAGUGGUGGCGUACGCCUUUAAUCCCAGCACUUGGGAGGCAGAGGCAGGUGGAUUUCUGAGUUCUAGGCUAGCCUGAUCUACAAAGUGAGUUCCAGGACAGCCAGGGCUACACAGAGAAACCCUGUCUCGAAAAAACAAAAAAGAAAAAGAAAAGAAAAAGUUUUAUGUGCAUUUGUGUGCAUCUACAUAAGUAAAAGCCUUCUGUGUGAGGGGCCUUUUGAGGUCAGAAGUUAUGAGCUCUCUAUCAUGAUGCCACGCCUAAUGACCGUUGUUUGAUUCCCCAGGAUACACAUGGUGAGAACCAGUCCCUGGCAAACUGUCCUCUGACUUCCACAUUCACACUGGUAUAUGAGUACCCAUGUGUGCGCAUGAGUACCCAUGUGUGCGCAUGAGCACACACAUACACGCACACAUUCACACAUAUAAAUGUAAUUUAAAAAUAUUAAGUGGCUACCUUGGCCUGGCAGGCCAGCCAUAAGAUAACGUAGGAAAGAGAUGGAUAGAUCUGUUUGGGCUUGCCCUAGAGACAAGAAGGCACAGUGAUAGAGUGUGCUACAGGGUAGCCCACCCCAUCUGUGAUGCCAGGAAAGAAUUAGAUGUAAAAGUUGAGAAUUGGCUGGAGCAGGCAUGGUGGGGGCUCACGGGUUAGGUCCUGAUGAGGACAGAGGACUUCAAGGGAUCAGGGGAAAGGUAUAGGGAUGGAGCCUGGGCACUGAGGGAGGAGUGGGUACCAGCCCACAGAAGGAAGACAGUGGGGCCACACUUUAGAAGGACUGGGUAACAAAUUGGUCUGGCUUUCCUUCUGAAUACACUGGGAUGUUAAAAGGAGCAGGCUAUGGCAUGCUGUCUAUUUUUAAAAAAUCAAUCUGGCCACAGUGUUGAGAAUGGGCCACGGGAGGAAGCUUGGGAGCGGGAAGGGCGGUUUGGACAUUCUCGUGGCUGCUGGGCAAAAGGUGAUGGUGGUUUGGGUAUCCAUGAGUUCUGUUUAGGAAGAGCUGAUAGACAGGCUCAGCUCUUGGAGGAAGUGAAGGAGAAGGCAGAGUCCCAGAGCACGGGUUCCAUCUCACAGGCACCUUUCUAGUUUCCCUGUUCCCUCUCUUCCUAGGACUCAUUAUAUGACAGCCUCAUAGCCUCAGGCAGAGCCACUUGUCCAGACUUGAAGGAGGGAGCAAGGGGACCACUGCCCAGAUCUGAAAUGGGCACACAAGCAAUGAGCUCAUUGAUGGUCUUUGUCCUACUGUUGGUCCUGGGACUGUCAUGUAAACCAUCUGAGCCUCAGUUUCCCCAUCUGAUGGGUCACGCGAGACAGUCCUUGCUGGCCCUUCAGAAAGUGCUACUGCAGUCAGCUGUGGCCCCCUGGCCUAGGC